UGCAGCUUUGUCAAAUUCGGUGCUUCUUCUUUAGUAGGCUGCACUGGCCAAAACAGCUGCAACAGAGACUUAGUAGUUCAUGGGCCCCACUUUCUUUAUCAUGGAUCCUGGGGAUAAAUAUGUACUGCAGACAAAA
ensembl:snoRNA